GACGAACGCUGGCGGCGUGCUUAACACAUGCAAGUCGAACGGAGUGGCGAACGGGUGAGUAACACGUGGGUGACCUGCCCUGCACUUCGGGAUAAGCCUGGGAAACUGGGUUUAAUACCGGAUAGUGUGGGAUGGGCCCGCGGCGUAUUAGCUUGUUGGUGGGGUAAUGGCCUACCAAGGCGGCGACGGGUAGCCGGCCUGAGAGGGUGGACGGCCACAAUGGGCCUGAGACACGGACCAGACUGCUACGGUAGGCAGCAGUGGAGAAUAUUGCACAAUGGGCGGGAGCCUGAUGCAGCGAGGCCGCGUGGGGAAUGACGGCUUUCGGGAUGUAAACUCCUUUCACCAUCGACGCGGUAGAUGGAGAAGAAGCACCGGCUAACUACGUGCCAGCAGCCGCGGUAAUAC
rnacentral:rRNA from 1 species